CUACGGGAUGCAGCAGUGGGGAAUAUUGCACAAUGAGCGAAAGCUUGAUGCAGCCAUACCGCGUGUGUGAAGAAAGCCUGAGGGUUGUAAAGCACUUUCAAUUGGGAGGAAGGUUAAGUAGUUAAUACCUGCUUAAUUUGACGUUACCUUUAGAAGAAGCACCGGCUAACUCUGUGCCAGCAGCCGCGGUAAUACAGAGGGUGCAAGCGUUAUUUGGAAUUACUGGGCGUAAAGCGCGCGUAGGCGGAUUAUUAAGUCAGUUGUGAAAGCCCUGGGCUCAACCUGGGAACUGCAUCUGAUACUGGUAGUCUAGAGUUUAAGAGAGGGAAGUGGAAUUCCAGGUGUAGCAGUGAAAUGCGUAGAUAUCUGGAGGAACAUCAGUGGCGAAGGCGACUUCCUGGCUUAAAACUGACGCUGAGGUGCGAAAGCGUGGGUAGCGAACGGGAUUAGAUACCCCCGUAGUC
rnacentral:rRNA from 1 species